rnacentral:rRNA from 1 species
UACGAAGGGGCUAGCGUUGUUCGGAUUUACUGGGCGUAAAGCGCACGUAGGCGGAUCGAUCAGUCAGGGGUGAAAUCCCAGAGCUCAACUCUGGAACUGCCUUUGAUACUGUCGAUCUGGAGUAUGGAAGAGGUGAGUGGAAUUCCGAGUGUAGAGGUGAAAUUCGUAGAUAUUCGGAGGAACACCAGUGGCGAAGGCGGCUCACUGGUCCAUUACUGACGCUGAGGUGCGAAAGCGUGGGGAGCAAACAGG